UACAGGGGGGGCAAGCGUUGUUCGGAAUUACUGGGCGUAAAGGGCGCGUAGGCGGCCACCGCAAGUCGAUUGUGAAAUCUCCGGGCUUAACCCGGAAAGGUCAACCGAUACUGCGGGGCUAGAGUGCAGAAGGGGCAACUGGAAUUCUCGGUGUAGCGGUGAAAUGCGUAGAUAUCGAGAGGAACACCUGCGGCGAAGGCGGGUUGCUGGGCUGACACUGACGCUGAAGUGCGAAAGCUAGGGGAGCGAACGGG
rnacentral:rRNA from 1 species